rnacentral:lncRNA from 1 species
GAUUUUGGGCAAAAUGUUCAAGAAAUCGAAAAGGAUCUAGGCGGCCGCCUAGGCAGCGCUAGGCGGAGCUAGAUGGCCCUAGGCGGAGCUGGGCGGCCUUCGUCUUUUCGCUUUGCGUAUGUGCAAACUGACCCAUUGAUCUCUGUCACCACUGACGAGGACGUCGACAACAUGAUGGAGGAGUACGAUCGCAUCGCACAUAAUCAAAACUUAAAGUCGGUGUGGCUUCGCCUCUUUCCCAGAACUUCUGUGCAUGAAAACGAAGAAUUACCGUGGUGGCUUAAAGGGAGUGAUAGAGGGACAUGUGCGGAGGAGAGAUGGGAGGGUUGGAGUGGAGUGGUUUUGAUUUGUUGUUUUCAAGAAGAGAAGAAGACGGAGGGUUGAAGAGAAGAAGAUAGAGGGUUCUCUUGGUAACAUAUUGUUUGGGCCCAAAAUAUUAGUUUGGGCCGAGUAUAGAAUCAUUCUCGGCUCGGGAGGCCUUACAACAAGGAUACCAUGGAUCAUGGGCCUCUAAACCUAGGACGGCUAGGUCAUGACGCAGGACAAGUCGAGUCUUGGUGCAAUAAGGAGUUUCGGCAGGAUUAAUAACCCGAAAGCGAAUUCGGCUCAAUUAAGGACUAGGUUCAUAAUUAUAUAGAAAAUAGGACUGGUCGAGUUGUUGUUUGAUCAGGAAACGAAGACCUACUCCGAGUAGGGUUUUGACUCGGCUUUAAAGGUAUCCAGUGCUAUAAAUAGAAGAGGCUGUGCAACAAAGAAGUCUCUCCAAUUCAACACAUAACUGCCCUACGCAAACUCUCUCAACAACUUUGAGAUUUUUAUUUUCUCUUUUUGCUGACACAUUUUCCGUUGGCAUCAACAUCACUGUGAAAACAACCGGUGAUAUCUUAAGUCGGCAUAGAUAGCUUUGUCAUCGUAGAAUCAGCCGGUCCCGCAGUAUCUUCCGUUGGCAUCAACAGCACUGCGGCGAGGACGGUUGGUUACUUAUCCAAGUCUCGGUCGAGAAGGAUUUCCGAAUCCUUAUUGAUUGAGGUCGUCUCAUUAGCCUUCUCGGCGAAGUGAGGUGUUACAGUUUAUUGAGCUCGGCGCAUUGCACGCCCAAGUUAUUUUAUGAUUGGAUACUCCCAAGUGGGAUUUAGAGUUCGGCAUUCAGACGGCCGAACCACGUUCACUAUUAAGACUUAUAUUCGCUUUGAGUAUUUGUGCCCUUACACUUUGGUGUCGAUUCGGCGAGAGUUUACUCUGAUGAAUAACAUCACUGUGACCGAAUCUGAAGACGGCGAUUUGUGAACUUCGUAAGAAUAGUAACCUUGUCUUCAGGUUCGAGAGCCCAAGAGGUCGAGACGUGUUCCUUUCUCGGCCGCAAUCGCAAGACGCAGAAGUCAGCCGCGCACCCAACGCAACAUCAACAAAUUUACUCCUCGGCUGACGAGUUGGCACGCCCCACAUUCACCGAAGGACGUAGUUAGCUUAUAGAUUACUCGGCCUGCACGCCACGUAGGUUUGGUAGUUUUUAGGGUCAACAUUUUGGCAUGCCCAGUGGGACCCAGUGCUAAACUACGAAGUUCAUGCCAAUUGAAUCACGAUCGGUAAAAAAGAAAACAGCUAUGGGAAAAUCAACAGCCGAUUUACCAACUCAGAACAUAGGACACAGUGUGCCACAGGCGCAGAAUCCCAUCAGCGCCGUAACACCUGAGUCCACGAGCGCAACUUGCCGAGAAAGGGAAGUUAAUCUCGGCGGUCAAUUUCGCAGUCUCGAAAUCCCCGACAGGAACACAUGCGUCCUCAAUGAAGGGAUAAUAGAGGAUUGUGACGAAGAUGGUGGCGAAUGAUCUGAUCCACCAACAAGGUCGUUUCUUCGAAAACGGCUCGAUGAGCAAUCUCAGACGGUCGAGCAGAUGUUUAGUCGAGGAAUCGAUAAACUUCAUGACGUGAUACGCAAUACCAGUGAGGCACAAACCAGAUUACUCGAGAUACUGGUUAGUAAGGUCAGCGACGGUACGACUUUCGAUCUUGCUCAACAUUUGCCACCGAGAAAUAAUCUCUUACCAAGUGCACCGGCCGGGUCAAUCCCUGCUCGGCUUAAACCAAUUAACUUGGAAAGAGGAUGAGGAUAAAACAGUAGGUUAGACGGAUCCGACCAGAGAGUGGAAGCAACACCCGUCGAUAUGACUGAGGUUCAACGGAUGAUCGAUUCGGCCAUAAAGAAAAGGCCGAAGUUCCCUAAAUUUAUACAUCCGUAUCCGGCUUAUGUGGAACAGUUCGAAUACCUUAGAGGUUUUAAAAUCUCAGAUUUUAGCUUUUUUACCGGAGAAUCAUCCUUAUCCUCGUUGGAACAUGUGGCUCGUUUCACUGCGCAAUGCGGAGAUGUCAAUAGCGACUUUCACAAACUGCGACUGUUCAAUUUUUCGCUGACGGGUUCAACAUUUGCUUGGUAUAUCAACCUUCCAUCGAAUUCUGUCCAGAACUGGGAGAAGUUGGUCGAGAAAUUUCAUGAGCAGUUUUAUCGACCAGGAAUGGAAGUGUCAGUAUCCUCGUUAGCAAGGAUGGCUCAAGCAUCCGACGAAUCACCAAUGGAUUAUCUUACCAGAUUUAAAUCAGCCAGGAAUUGGUGCCGAGUACCUCUCCCUGAAGUCGAGUUCGUAAGACUUGCUCUAAAUGGUCUUGACGUGGAAUAUAAAAAGAAAUUCUUGGGGGCAAAUUUUCAGGAUAUGUUUGAACUAGCCCAGCAUGUUGAGCAGUAUGAUUAUUUGCUCCGUGAAGAGAAGAUCUCGAAAGCUCCGUCCAGAGGGACGAUUUACAAAAAUCCUACUGUCAGUUAUGCAUCGGCCGAAGGUGAAUGUGUUAGCGUGGAUGCAGCCGAGAUAAUCAUAGAUAAGCCAUACGUUUGCAAGGCACUGACUCAAAUUGACUCUAAGGAGGCCAAAACCCGCUCGGCCCACGAAGAAACAAUGAAAACGUCAAAGGUCUAUACUUUUGAUAUUACAAAGGCCAAUGCGAUUUUUGAUCAAUUGUUAUCAGCAAAGAUCAUUAAACUUCGGCCUGGACAUAACAUUCCCAAGGCCGAAGAGCUUAAAGGAAAGAUAUAUUGCAAAUACCAUAAUUCAAGUAAACAUACGACAAAUAAUUGCGUCGUGUUUCGAGACAACGUCCAAAGCUGGAUUGAUAAUGGCAAACUGAGAUUUUUAGAGAAGAAGAUGAGCGUUGAUACUGACCCAUUCCCCACGGCAACAGUAGGUAUGGUCAAUGCGUGCCUACCUAAGGACAAAGGGAAAGGGAAGGCCGAAGCUGUUGUGACGCAACGCUUUCGAAAUCAGAACUCUCGGCCACGUUUCAUGGUCGAUUUUCGUUUAAACGAACCACCUACAGCUUUAACGGGACCCGCUAUUGUCAAGCCUAUGAUGGAUUACAGCACUGAUGAAGACAGUGGGACGGCGAUUUUAUGCAGUAAAUGUAAAGCAAAGGUCAACAUUGAGCCAGAAGAAAAGUCCUCUCCGCCUAUAAUGGAACAACCUACAGCCGCAACCCAGCAAAAGGCGACCAACGUAGGCCAACAUCAAGGGGUUUUUGAUAGGCUCGGUCCUAAAGUGAGGAUGAAAGAGACACCUUCAGUCAGACGGCGCCUCGAUUUUGAUGCUCCGUUCUAUGACGAGGACUAUUAUAUACGUAACUCUAGCAGCUCGGAAUCAUCGCGGAGCCAAAAACCUUUCAAACCUCCCGAACCUAGAGACCAACGUUGGUAUACAUAUCACUCUUCGAAAGACGUUUACACUGCACUGUCCAAAUCCCAGAAACGCCGGCACCAAAGAAUAGAUUGCAUGGCCCGCCGACGGGCAGCCCAAGAAACUUCGGUCCCUAAAUGGCGGCCGAAGGACACAAUUGCCACCGACGACGAACGACCACCUCCAGCGAUUAUGACAGAGUUGGUUCAAGGGAAACGGCUGGUCAACCAAGAUAUCGAAACCACGUUCGAAGAGGCUGAUAAACGGAUCAAACUUCUUCUUCGGCCUGGGGAGAUGAAGGCACGCCUCGAGCAUUUCAGGCAAGAAGCUGAAAGCAAAUUAGCCCCGCCGGCCACACGAGAACCUUUGAUCAAAAUUUGACGAAAUUUGCAUCCACCAUUCUUCGAGGAGGCCUUGGAAUAUAUGCGAGAGUUUCAUAAGAAACAUUUGGCCAACGAUCUGUAUGGUUUACCGAAAGCAUGUCAAGACACAAUCGAUCUGGUCCUAACUUGCCCUGAUGCCGAGCGAAUCAUUCAGAAGACCUCAGACCCAGGAUUGAAAGCGAGUUCCAACACAUACGAAAAACACGUGUCUUUGGUUUUGAAGUCGACCCAUACACUAAUAUCGAUGCAGCCGACCUUCCUUUCUCAAUGAAGGACCUUCAGUAUUUACGAUAUCACUUCGAAGUAUUUUCGGCUGUUUCUCUCUUCGGCCUUACGGCCGAUGAAAUAGCAUGUGUCGCACGGUUGGAUGCCUAUCUCGACACCAGGGAUGCCCGGAUACACUACCAGGAGCAAGUUCAGCUUAUGGCCCCAAGCACACUUUCGAUCUCAGCCUCACCGGAGGCACUUACGCAAAACCAACAGGCUGCCGAAGAAACACCGCGGGAUCAAACCAUUGACGAAUGAGCAAAAGAGUCUCUUUGUCCAACUCUGACGGCAGCGUAGGCCGCAGUCGCCAACCAGGAAAUAGACGAGGCUAGCGAAGAGGAUCAUAACUCGAUGGGCCUGUCAGUCCUGGAUAACAUGGAAAUCAGUAUGGUCCAUGUUUUGCCUGCUGAUUUUCAGUCAAGCACAACUCAACCGAAUUUCCUCGAUGGUGAUGUAUUCGCCGAGGAAGCCGGUCAUAUCGAUUUUGUACAUAUUGCUGAAGUCGAGUCAAUAACAAAAGAUGAUAGUCUGAAAGCAGCUUUGGCCGAAUUGUUUCCUCGUUCAUCAUCGGCCAAACUUCAUCAUUUGAAGCCAUUGUAUGUGACGGCCUAUAUCGAAGGGUAUCCAGUCUCUAAAGUUUUUGUCGACUGUGGAGCCACUGUCAAUAUCAUGCAUGUAAACAUCAUGAAGGCCUUACGUCGCUCUAAUGACGAACUUAUUCCGUCCGGGAUCACGAUGAGUAGUUUCGUCGGCGACAAAUCCCAAACCAAAGGAGUACUUCCGUUAGCAGUAAAUAUUACCGGCCGUACUCACAUGACCGCUUUUUUCAUUAUCGACUCCAAGACCGAGUAUAGUGCACUGCUCGGUUGAGACUGGAUUCAUCAAACCAGCUGUAUUCCUUCAUUAUUGUAUCAAGUGCUCGUCUUUUGGGAUGGCAAAUCGGUCACUGUUCACCCGGCCGAUAGCCAACCCUUCGAAGUUAAUAUGAUCCAAGCACGGUAUUAUGAUGACCACGUCGGCUACAUCACCAUACAAGGCUUCAAUGAUGAAGGACGGUUGACUCGGAUUUCUGUUCAGAAAGCUAUUGAGGUUGACGCCGACUGUCCACCAGGAUUCGACGAAACUCGGGUUAGCUAACUUCCUCCCCGACCCUGAUGUUUGACACCGAUCGGGAACAACGACAGGCCAUGGUUUCUUAUACUAUGGAACGACUGCUGGGCCAUUGGUAUACUAUCUCUAGGCAGCCACAUUCGGGUGUCAACCUCGUCGAGUUCCUCGCUGAAGGAGAUAAUGGUCCCGUCUUAUCUCCUGAUAAAAUUCAAGCUGCUCCGGCCGAGCGUGAAGACAAUCGGCCCCAAGUUAAGGACCCCCUGGAAGAAAUUAAUGUUGGGACGGCCGAUGACCCACGACCUUUGUUUAUUAGUGCUUUACUUCCACAACCUAUGAAAGAUGAACUUCGUGCCCUGUUUGAGGAGUUCAAAGAUUGUUUUGCUUGGAGCUACCGUGAAAUGCAUGGCUUAGAUCGUACUCUCGUCGAACAUGAGUUACGUAUUAAGCCUGGAUGUAAACCUUUCCGUCAACCACCUCGCCGAUUCUCGACCGAAGUAUAACUCGGUAUCAAGGACGAACUGGUUCGGCUCUUGAACGCCGGGUUCAUUCGGACAGCUUGGUACGUUGAAUGGUUGGCCAAUAUCGUUCCUGUUUUAAAGAAAAAUGGUGCACUGCGCAUUUGCAUUGACUUCAGAAAUCUGAAUUUGGCAACUCCCAAAUAUGAGUAUACAAUGUCGAUUUCAGAUUUGUUAAUAGAUGCGGCAGCAAAUCAUGCCAUCUUAUCUUUUAUGGAUGGCCAUGCCGGGUACAACCAAAUUUUCAUUACCGAAGCUGAUGUGCACAAAACUGCUUUUCGCUGCCCGGGGGCACUCGGCACUUACGAAUGGGUUGUUAUGCCAUUCGGCCUCAAAAACGCCGGCGCCACAUACCAACAGGCAAUGAACACCAUAUUUCAUGAUUUAAUUGGAACCAUCGUCGAAGUCUAUAUCGACGAUGUUGUAAUUAAAUCCAAACAACGGUGAACUCAUCUGGAUGAUCUCUGACAGGCUUUCCUCCGUAUGCGUCAACACAAUCUCAAAAUGAAUCUUGCCAAAUGUGCAUUCGGUGUGUCAGUCGGUAAUUUUCUCGGUUUCCUAGUGCAUCACCGUGGGAUUGAAGUGGACGAAAAUAAAGCACGUGCAAUCAUCAGUGCUCCACCCCCGACGACGAAGAAACAACUGCAGUCCUUACUCGAUAAGAUAAAUUUUUCUCCGCCGAUUUAUAGCUAACUCGGCAGGUAAAAUGAAAGCGUUCUCGACGCUGUUGAAACUUAAGGACUCAGAUAAAUUUGAGUGGACCGACGAGCAUCAGGCAGUGUUUACACAAAUCAAAGUCUCCCUCACGACACCACAUGUCCUUAUUCCACCCCGGCGCGGUAAACCUCUCAAAUUAUAUAUCUCGGCGGCUGAAGAGUCCAUCGGCUGCCUCAUCGCCCAAGAUAAUGAUUCCGGGCGGGAGCAGGCUAUUUUUUACCUCAGUCGAAAUCUUAAUCAACUGAAAAUCAAUUAUUUCGCCAUUGAGAAGCUCUGUCUCGCCGUGUUCUUCGCCGCCUCUAAGCUUCGACAUUACAUGCUUCCGUCGGUCACACAAGUCAUUGCCCAGACCAACGUCAUCCGGUACAUGCUUACCUGGCCAAUCGUAAAAGGCUGAAUUAGGAAAUAGACAAUGGCGUUGUUCGAGUUUAGCUUGCAAUACGUGCCCCAGAAAGCUGUCAAAGGCCAGGCAUUGGCAGACUUCCUUGCUCAACGCCCUUCCCCCUAUGGUUUUGGGGACACCGACGUCAAAAUCGGCAUGGUUGAAACACGCGACAACUAAUGGACGAUGUAUUUUGACGGUUCAAGUACUUCAUCCUCGGCCGGCGUUAGCAUUGUCAUUCAAUCUCCUAACCACGAUCGUUGGUAUUUUUCGCUCAAGUUGGAUUUCGACUGCACCAAUAAUCAGGCCGAAUACGAAGCCCUUAUCAUCGGCCUUGGCCUCCUUCAUGACUUGCGGGCCACCCGUGCCCUCGUCCUCGGCGACUCUGAACUUGUGAUUAACCAACUUAAUGGGUCUUUCCGCUGUAUGAGUUGUACCCUGGCACCCUACCAUAUGGUUGCCAACUAUUUGGCCGAAUCCUUCGCCGGUAUUACUUUCAAGCAUAUUUCCCGGACCCAUAAUACCGCCGCGAACGAGUUGGCUCAAAUCGCCUCCGGUGCACAACUCCUUAGGGGCAAGCUAGGCCGAGAAAUACCGGUGUUACGAUAGCUAUACCCGGCCUUGGUUAACCAGCAAAUCCUCUGAUGCGACGACGUGAUACGCACCAGAGUCAUGUCCUUACCUUCGUUGCUAGAUCGAUAAGACCCUAUAGAGGUUUGUGCCAUCGAGGCAAUGCCAGAUGAUUGGAGAAAGCCCAUUAUGCAGUACCCUGACAAUCCCAAUGGAAAACAUAGUCGCAAGACACGAGUUCACGCCACGAACUAUGUCACGUACCAAAAUGAGUUAUAUCGAAAGGGGGAAGAUGGUCUAUUAUUGCUAUGCCUCGGCCCCCAAGAGAGUGCUCAAGCAAUCACAGAAGUCCAUGAGGGGGUGUGCGGAGCUCAUCAGUCCUGACGUAAAAUGCGGUGGUUGCUUCGGCGACACGGUUAUUUUUGGCCAAGAAUAUUGAAGGAUUGUAUCGAAUUCGCACGAGGAUGUAUAUAGUGUCAGAUUCAUGGUCCUAUACAGCGGGUCCCGACCGAGUCAUUACAUUCGGUCACUAAACCAUGGUCAUUUAGAGGAUGGGCUAUAGACGUAAUUGGUAAAAUCACACCAUCCUCCGGGGCUGCCAAGCACGCAUGGAUACUCGUAACAACCGAUUACUUCACUAAGUGGGUCGAAGCUAAAUCGUAUGCUGAGCUAACGUCUAAAGAAGUUUGCGACUUUGUGGAAGAACAUAUUGUGACUAGAUUCGGUGUACCAGAAACGAUUAUAACUGAUAAUGGCACAAUCUUUACAGCCGAAAGGCUUAGAGAAUAUACGGCAAGUUUAAAAAUUCAGCUUGAACAGUCUACACCGUAUUACCCACAAGCAAAUGGGCAGGCCGAGGCAAGUAACAAAGUAUUGAUUGGCAUUCUCGAGAAAAUAAUAAAAGAAAGGCCUGGCACGUGGCAUUUAAAGUUAAACGAGGCUUUAUGGGCAUAUCGAACAUCGCUCCGAUCGACGACUGGGACAACCCCGUAUGCACUAAUCUACGGACACGACGCAGUGUUACCAGUCGAGCUAAGCAUAAAUUCGUUAUGAAUAAUUGAACAAAGUAGUUUGUUCAGCGCCGAAUAUAAUCAGUCCAUGAGACAGGAGUUGGAAGACUUGGAAGAAGCGUGACUCGAUGCUUAUAACUUGUUGGUGGCACAAAAACAGAUUACCGAACGAGCAUACAAUCAAAAGGUCCGACAAAAAAUAUUUGGCGAAGGAGAAUUAGUUUGGCAAACGGUGUUGCCCACGGGAAUUAAAGACCCUAGGUUCGGCAAAUGGUCGCCAACUUGGGAAGGUGCUUUUGUCGUGCACAAGGUUCUCGGCAAAAGCGCGUAUCAUCUUAGAGAUCGGACUGGUUUAGUUCACAAAUUGCCAAUCAAUGGGAAGUUUUUAAAGAAGUACUAUCCAGUCACAUGGGAGAUGCAGGAAUAAAAAAAAUUUCAUUUCAUUAAGGCCGAUGAACAAAUACAUAUCGAGGUAAUCGAUCAGUGUACAUUUAAGGUGAAGAAGGAAGAAGGGUGCCGAGAAGAGCCUUCAACUCCAGCCAUCGCACCUCGCCCAUUAUGAUAUCGGCCUGCCGGUUAUUCUUGUCCAUUUUUAACUGCUCGACCCGUUUUGUGCUCGUCGCAUACUCGGUUAAACAAGCUUUGCCGCCCGACUCGAAAUCCUUAGCAAGCUCGGAAGCAAUGGCCGACCUUCGUUUCGCUAAUUCGACCAUUUGACGGUCGAGGUCAGCCAAGGCCUCUCCUUUUGCCUUCAAAGCAUCAAUCUUUAGGCGGAGAGUAUCUUGGACGGCUGUGGCAGCUUGCAAGUCUUGUUCGGCCUUCAGAGCGUUUUCGAAGAUACUAAAGGUCUUCCGAACCCGCUCCAAGGUAGACGACGCCUGAACGAUAGCCUCGCCGCUCAGUUGACUAUCGGCUCCGAGGUCAUUUAGACAUGCACCGAGCAAAUCAAGACCUUUGCAUUCGAGUACUUGCGACGCCGAAAGGGACAAGACCUCUCGCAAUCGAGCUAGAGCAGUUGAGUCAGCAGCAUCAGUUGUGGUGGCCGAAGGACCAGCCCCUCCAGUGGUGCUGGACAAGAGGGCUUUAAAUUCUACUUCCCAUGAAGCAUGCACACAAAAUCAGGUUAAGCUCAAGGAAAUCAUAAAAAGACCACAAGAAGGUUUUGUUUUUAAACCUGCCGAGAGGAGACUUCGGCCAUGUCUUCAGGAUCGUUGCUCGAACCUAAAGAACUUAAUGGUCGAGCCCAGUAUCUUAGAUUGCUUCUCAGCUCACGCGGCCGAUGGAGGUUAUCUACGUUCGAUGGCCACUGAGGUGGCCAAAAGACAUAGAUAACACCCUUCAGUGCAUAGAAUUUUCGAUGAAAAGAGUGUAUAGGCACCUGACAGUUAGUACUUUCCUGGUUUAGAGUUCUAUAACAGAAAAAUAAUCAAGGAAAGGCGGUAGAGGGCACUUACGAAAGCCGAGAUGGCUUCCUGCGGAGGAAUAUCGAGGUCCUGGUCCUGAGGAUGAACAGGCGUUUCCACCGUCGCCUCUGGCUCUCCAACAAGUCAUUUGCCACGUUCGGUCGUAGAAGGGCCGACCGGGACAGCCGCUUCGAACGAAAAAUAUAGGUCCUGGUCCUGUGGAGGAGCGGGCGUUUUUGUCGCCACUGUUAGCUCUUCGGCCGGUCGUUUGCCACGGUCGGCCGUGGGAGGGCCGACUUGGGCAGCCACCUCAGACACAUGAGGAGGUUGAUGACGGGAACGAGGGCGACUUGCUAGUGGAACCUCGUCGCUCCCCUCACUUUCUUCCAAAACGGAGAUCGAGGGUUUUGGAUUUGCAGGGGAAUUUCUCUUGGUCGCAGGGACUGCCUUUUCCAGGACAGGUGUAGCUUCGACCGGUGGGAUAACAACCGGUCUACCAACCUCAGAAACAGGCCGUGCUCGGACUAUUUCCUCGGUUGAAAUUGACCGUUUCUCGACCGGGGCUUGGGCGAUGGGGGGAGAAGGGGAAAGGUUGGGAGUCGUCGCUCCCAUAGUAUGACUAGAGAUAACGUGAAUCUCCCGUUCUCCUUUCUUCACCAGUUUUUUGAUCCGUUUGGCGGGCCGAGAAGGUUCGGUGGUCGGUUCGACUUCUCGACGAAGCCGUUUGCUCAACAAGGCCUGCGCAGCAGCUUUUGCUUUCUUGAAGAUGACCGAUUUUCUCUCGGUCGCAGCAGCAGCAACCACAACCACUUUUUUCAACGAUCGGCUACCUGAGAAAGUAAAAACAAAUCAGUAAAGGAGAUCAGUAGUUCAUGGUUGAAGGAAAAAGGCAGAAGUAAACCGUUACCUUGGGCUUGGGGGGCAGAUGGCUUCUUAGGUCGACCACCGAAGAGGUUAUUUGACCACCGAAGAGGUUAUUUAAAAUAGUUUCGACCGGAACACCAAAAAACUGUUCGGUAUACUGCUCCCACCAGUCACUGAAGGUGUUAGUGCAAAGAGUCUCUGGAGUGGCCGGUCGAAGGUGGAAUUUCUGGCACCGCUCCUGGAACUCCCUUUUGGCGUCGGUGCAUUCCUUCUCCGAAUAGCCAGGUUCGCGUCCGCGGCUUAGGACCGACCUCGAGGAAAGAAGAGGGACUGGACAACCUUGGAGAUAGCCAAGCUACCGAGCGAGGAAGUUGGGGUGGUACACUUCCCAACUCGCUCGGCGACCCUCACAACCGAGAGGCAGGUCGCGGGUAAGAACGAAGGACCCCCAGGAUUGGCGAAGGUUAGCAUUUUCGUCCGCACCCCAGGCUGUGGUAGGAAGUCUGAUCGACGAAGGGUACUCUCGACGACGACAGAUUAAGAACUCGUCAUUAGAAAGGGCAUCGAGAGCGAAUAAGUAUCUGAAUACUUCUUUGGCUUGGUGAGGGGGGAUUGGUCGAAGAGCCAAUUGAAGGCCGAAGGCUUCCCUGUGCGAGAAAUCAGCAAUCGUUGGCCGAAGAGGAGCGAAGUAGACCUGCAGCCAGAGUUGGAAGACCCAGAGAGGCCCAUUCUGUUGAGGAUCGACUUUAUCUUGAGUCGCUUCGGCCAAGCAGCGCAAAAGAUGAGCGAGAAUGGCCAGGCUAAGUGCCAAAGUGUGACCGAUAGCUAGGGUCUCGGCCACUGGCAUGUUCUCGACCAGACACUUAUUAGAUUUGGUACAACAAAUGAAUUUGUUGUACCAAUAGAAGAGGAAAGCCUCGUGUUCUCCUUCUCACAGAGCUUCUUCUCCUCGGCCGGCAAAAUGGAGGUAGAGGGUGUUGUAGUUGAAGAAGUUCUUGUGAAGCUUGUGAACCUCUUCCUUCGAGGGUGUUUGGCCUUCACUGCUUAGCGUCUCAAGGGCCCGUUUGUCAAAGAGCACCUUCAAAUUAAGGUUUGACGGGUACCCAGGGAGGGCAUAGUCGACUGGGAUUCCAGUCGGGGAAGUCCCCAGGAUGGCAGUAAGGUUGAGGAUGGUGGGGCCAAUGGGGCCGAGAGGGAGGACCAUGGUGUUAGUGGCCGAACACCAAAAGCAUAAAGCCGCUAGGAGGAGCUCCUUGUCCAUAGAUGAAAGGCGAAUGGCGUCGUAGAUGCCUAGGGCUUUCCAUUGCUCGCCGAAGAUUUUUUCCAUUCGAACAACCCAGGCUGCCCAGGUUGUAGUAGUCGAGGGCCAAGAGCCUUGGGGCCUCGUUACAUCCCACUUCGACCAGUCGAACCCUUGUAGCAAGGGUGAUAAGCAAUGCUCCUGGAGAAGUGCAGUAAUGGUCGAUGACACCGCCGCCUUAAAGAGAGGACCCAAGAUUUGAUGAGGGGUGCUCAUGUUGCUCUCAAAUCGAUGGUCUUGAUUGAACUCCGAUCGAUGAUCUUCUGGCAUUGGUCACACUCCUUGGAAAGGUUGGAGAUAAAUGAGGCCAUGAUGAAUGGUUUGAAGGAAUGACAAGAAAAGAACUUUCUGGGUUAAAGGUUGAAGAUGAAAAUUUGGAAGGAAGAUAUGCACUGGAGAGCAAUGGCAAGAAAUUCAGAAAAUUGGAAAACGUAAAAGUACAAAUGAGAGGAUUUCGGUAUUUAUAGGACGAUGGAGGGAAGGGCAAUCGUUCGAAAUUUAAAAUGAAGGGUAAAAUCGACCAAGAAAUUCGCUAAUCAUUAUGAACAUUCAGAAGAUCCAGUUGAAAAGAUCGAGGGUUUCGUAUUUCGGGAGAUGCACGAUUGCGUGUGGCGGUGAGAUUUAUGGUGAAAGACGGUUUGGCGUCUGCACGAUGCUGAAUGGUUCGUAGAUCGAGGCGACAUGGUGGUGUUCAGCAAUAAGGCCAUAAUGAUAUGACGGUUCAGGGAGCCGCACGCUUCAAACAUUAUUAUGGACUAGCCCUAUAAAAGAAUGCCACGUAGUGUGGUGGUUAGCAGGAUCAAGAUCGUGCAAUCAUGCUUAAUAAAUGCGCCUCAGGAAUAAGAGCAUUUGAGUUUUGAGUUUUAAUUUCGCUUCUUCAAGGUCGGAGCUCGACCAGAGGGUUCAGGCCGAGGGCCUCAGAAGCGAGGGGGCAAUGUUUGGGCCCAAAAUAUUAGUUUGGACCGAGUAUAGAAUCAUUCUCGGCCCGGGAGGCCUUACAACAAGGAUACCAUGGAUCGUGGGCCUCCAAACCUAGGACGGCUAGGUCAUGACGCAGGACAAGUCGAGUCCUGGUGCAAUAAGGAGUCUAGGCAGGAUUAAUAACCCGAAAGCGAAUCCGGCUCAAUUAAGGACUAGGUUCAUAAUCAUAGAGAAAAUAGGACUGGUCGAGUUGUUGUUUGAUCAGGAGACGAAGACCUACUCCGAGUAGGGUUUUGACUCGGCUUUAAAGGUAUCCAGUGCUAUAAAUAGAGAAGGCUGUGCAACAAAGAAGUCUCUCCAAUUCAACACACAACUGCGCUCUGCGCAAACUUUGAGAUUUUAUUUUCUCUUCUUUCCUCUUCCAUUGGCAACAACAGCAUUGUGAAAGCAACCGGUGAUAUCUUAAGCUCGGCAAGAUAACUCUGUCAUUGUAGAAUCAGCCGGUCCCGCAGAUAUCUUCUGGGCAUCGAUGACGGUAUUGCACUUUUUUCCAAGUUGGAAAGAUCUCGGUUGAGAAUUGUAGAAUCGUCCCCGUCAUACUUUUUCAUCAAUGACGGGUGGUUACUUGAUUGAGGAAUUCCGAAUCCUUAUUGAUUGAGGUCGUCUCAUUAGCCUUAUCGGCGAAGUGAGGUGUUACAGUUUAUUGAGCUCGGCGCAUUGCACACCGAGUUAUUUUAUGAUUGGAUACUCCCAAGUGGGAUUUAGAGUUCGGCAUUCAGACGGCCGAACCACGUUCACUAUUAAGACUUAUAUUCGCUUUGAGUAUUUGUGCCCUUACACUUUGGUGUCGAUUCGGCGAGAGUUUACUCUGACGAAUAACAUCACUAUGACCGAAUCCGACGACGGCGAUUUGUGAACUUCGUAAGAAUAGUAACCUUGUCUUCAGGUUCGAGAGCCCAAGAGGCCGAGACGUGUUACUUUCUCGGCCGCAAUCGCAAGACGUAGAAGUCAGCCGCGCACCCAACGCAACAUCAACAAAUUUACUCCUCGACCGAGCUCGGCCGACGAGUUGGCACGCCCCGCAUUCACUGAAUGACGUAGUUAGUUUAUAGAUUACUCGGCCUGCGUGCCACGUAGGUUUGGUAGUUUUUAGGGUCAACACAUAUAGAGGGAAAUGUGCGGAUGAGAGAUGGAGUGUUGGAGUUAUUGUGAUUUGUUGUUUUCAAGGAGAGAAGAAGAUAGAGGGUUGAAGAGAAGAAGAUAGAGACUAGACUAGGCAGCAGGGAAAAUCAGAAAAGUAGAAAAAGUGCCUAGUUUUGUGUGAAAGUCCCUCAUAAUAAAAAAAAAAACAUAAAUAAUAAUUACCC